rnacentral:rRNA from 1 species
ACGGAGCAAUACCGCGUGGGGGAGGAAGGUUCUUGGAUUGUAAACCCCUUUUCUCAGGGAAGAACAAAAUGACGGUACCUGAGGAAUCAGCAUCGGCUAACUCCGUGCCAGCAGCCGCGGUAAUACGGAGGAUGCAAGCGUUAUCCGGAUUUAUUGGGCGUAAAGCGUCCGCAGGUGGCUACUCAAGUCUGCCGUCAAAGCUCGGAGCUUAACUCCGAAUCGGCGGUGGAAACUGAACAGCUAGAGUGCGGUAGGGGCAGAGGGAAUUCCUGGUGUAGCGGUGAAAUGCGUAGAGAUCGGGAAGAACAUCGGUGGCGAAAGCGCUCUACUGGGCCAUAACUGACACUCAGGGACGAAAGCUAGGGGAGCG